rnacentral:rRNA from 1 species
AACGAACGCUGGCGGCAUGCCUAACACAUGCAAGUCGAACGAGACCUUCGGGUCUAGUGGCGCACGGGUGCGUAACGCGUGGGAACCUGCCCUUAGGUUCGGAAUAACUCCCCGAAAGGGGUCCUAAUACCGGAUAAUGUCUUCGGACCAAAGAUUUACCGCCUUUGGAUGGGCCCGCGUUGGAUUAGCUAGUUGGUAGGGUAAAAGCCUACCAAGGCGACGAUCCAUAGCUGGUCUGAGAGGAUGAUCAGCCACACUGGGACUGAGACACGGCCCAGACUCCUACGGGAGGCAGCAGUGGGGAAUAUUAGACGAUGGGCGAAAGCCUGAUCCAGCAAUGCCGCGUGAGUGAUGAAGGCCUUAGGGUUGUAAAGCUCUUUUACCCGGGAUGAUAAUGACAGUACCGGGAGAAUAAGCUCCGGCUAACUCCGUG